rnacentral:rRNA from 1 species
CGCGAAGAACCUUACCUGGUCUUGACAUCCCUCUGACCGCUCUAGAGAUAGAGUUUUCCUUCGGGACAGAGGUGACAGGUGGUGCAUGGUUGUCGUCAGCUCGUGUCGUGAGAUGUUGGGUUAAGUCCCGCAACGAGCGCAACCCCUAUUGUUAGUUGCCAUCAUUUAGUUGGGCACUCUAGCGAGACUGCCGGUAAUAAACCGGAGGAAGGUGGGGAUGACGUCAAAUCAUCAUGCCCCUUAUGACCUGGGCUACACACGUGCUACAAUGGCUGGUACAACGAGUCGCAAGCCAGUGACGGCAAGCUAAUCUCUUAAAGCCAGUCUCAGUUCGGAUUGUAGGCUGCAACUCGCCUACAUGAAGUCGGAAUCGCUAGUAAUCGCGGAUCAGCACGCCGCGGUGAAUACGUUCCCGGGCCUUGUACACACCGCCCGUC